CCUACGGGAGGCUGCAGUGGGGAAUAUUGCACAAUGGGCGCAAGCCUGAUGCAGCCAUGCCGCGUGUGUGAAGAAGGCCUUCGGGUUGUAAAGCACUUUCAGCGGGGAGGAAGGCGGUGAGGUUAAUAACCUCAUCGAUUGACGUUACCCGCAGAAGAAGCACCGGCUAACUCCGUGCCAGCAGCCGCGGUAAUACGGAGGGUGCAAGCGUUAAUCGGAAUUACUGGGCGUAAAGCGCACGCAGGCGGUCUGUCAAGUCGGAUGUGAAAUCCCCGGGCUCAACCUGGGAACUGCAUUCGAAACUGGCAGGCUAGAGUCUUGUAGAGGGGGGUAGAAUUCCAGGUGUAGCGGUGAAACGCGUAGAGAUCUGGAGGAAUACCGGUGGCGAAGGCGGCCCCCUGGACAAAGACUGACGCUCAGGUGCGAAAGCGUGGGGAGCAAACAGGAUUAGAUACCCUAGUAGUC
rnacentral:rRNA from 1 species